GACGAACGCUGGCGGCGUGCUUAACACAUGCAAGUCGAACGGAAAGGCCCUGCUUUUGUGGGGUGCUCGAGUGGCGAACGGGUGAGUAACAAGUGAGUAACCUGCCCUUGACUUUGGGAUAACUUCAGGAAACUGGGGCUAAUCCCGGAUAGGAGCUCCUGCUGCAUGGUGGGGGUUGGAAAGUUUCGGCGGUUGGGGAUGGACUCGCGGCUUAUCAGCUUGUUGGUGGGGUAGUGGCUUACCAAGGCUUUGACGGGUAGCCGGCCUGAGAGGGUGACCGGCCACAUUGGGACUGAGAUACGGCCCAGACUCCUACGGGAGGCAGCAGUGGGGAGUAUUGCACAAUGGGCGGAAGCCUGAUGCAGCAACGCCGCGUGCGGAAUGACGGCCUUCGGGUUGUAAACCGCUUUCGCCUGUGACGAAGCGUGAGUGACGGUAAUGGGUAAAGAAGCACCGGCUAACUACGUG
rnacentral:rRNA from 1 species